rnacentral:tRNA from 2 species
GCCCCCAUAGCCCAAUGGCAGAGGCAGUUGACUUAAAAUCAAUCCAGUGUCGGUUCGAGUCCGACUGGGGGCACAA